UACAGAGGGGGGCGAGCGUUAUUCGGAAUUAUUGGGCGUAAAGGGCGCGUAGGCGGCUUUUCAAGUGACGGGUGAAAUCCCUCGGCUUAACCGAGGAACUGCCUGUCAGACUGGAAGGCUUGAGACCGGGAGAGGUGAGUGGAAUUCCCAGUGUAGCGGUGAAAUGCGUAGAUAUUGGGAGGAACACCAGUGGCGAAGGCGGCUCACUGGACCGGAACUGACGCUGAGGCGCGAAA
rnacentral:rRNA from 1 species